rnacentral:rRNA from 1 species
GGAGUGCGGGGUGCUUACACAUGCAGUCGAGCGGAAGGCCCUUCGGGGUACUCGAGCGGCGAACGGGUGAGUAACACGUGAGUAACCUGCCCCUGACUCUGGGAUAAGCCUGGGAAACCGGGUCUAAUACCGGAUACGACCAUUUCUCGCAUGUGAUGGUGGUGGAAAGUUUUUUCGGUUGGGGAUGGGCUCGCGGCCUAUCAGCUUGUUGGUGGGGUGAUGGCCUACCAAGGCGACGACGGGUAGCCGGCCUGAGAGGGCGACCGGCCACACUGGGACUGAGACACGGCCCAGACUCCUACGGGAGGCAGCAGUGGGGAAUAUUGCGCAAUGGGCGGAAGCCUGACGCAGCGACGCCGCGUGGGGGAUGACGGCCUUCGGGUUGUAAACCUCUUUCAGCAGGGACGAAGUUGACGUGUACCUGUAGAAGAAGCGCCGGCUAACUACGUGCCAGCAGCCGCGGUAAUACGUAGGGCGCAAGCGUUGUCCGGAAUUAUUGGGCGUAAAGAGCUCGUAGGUGGCUUGUCGCGUCUGCCGUGAAAGCCCGUGGCUUAACUACGGGUCUGCGGUGGAUACGGGCAGGCUAGAGGCUGGUAGGGGCAAGCGGAAUUCCUGGUGUAGCGGUGAAAUGCGCAGAUAUCAGGAGGAACACCGGUGGCGAAGGCGGCUUGCUGGGCCAGUUCUGACGCUGAGGAGCGAAAGCGUGGGGAGCGAACAGGAUUAGAUACCCUGGUAGUCCACGCUGUAAACGUUGGGCGCUAGGUGUGGGGGUCUUCCACGAUCUCUGUGCCGUAGCUAACGCAUUAAGCGCCCCGUCUGGGGAGUACGGCCGCAAUGCUAAAACUCACAGGAAUUUCUCGGGGGACCGCAUACGCAGUCGAUCAUGUUGCUUAACUCGACGCAACGCGAAGAACCUAUACUAAGGUUUGACCUACACCGGGAUACCCUCAGAGAUGGGAUGACUACUUUGGACUGCUGUACAGGUGGAGCAUGGCUGUCGUCAGCUCGUGUCGAGAGAUGUUGAGCUAAGUCCCGCACGAGCGCACCUUGCUCCAUGCUGCCAGCACGCCCUAUGGGGGUGUGGGGACUCAUGGACCACUGGCCGG